ACGAGCGCUGGCGGCGUGCUUAACACAUGCAAGUCGAACGGAAAGGCCUGCUUUCCCUUGUGGAUUGCGGGUACUCGAGUGGCGAACGGGUGAGUAACACGUGAGUGAUCUGCCCCCAACUUGGGUAUAAGCCUGGGAAACUGGGUCUAAUUCCCGAUAGGACUGCAGGGUGGUGCCUGUGGUGGAAAACGAUUUUCUAGUGGUUGGGGAUGAGCUCGCGGCCUAUCAGCUUGUUGGUGGGGUAAUGGCCUACCAAGGCGGCGACGGGUAGCCGGCCUGAGAGGGUGGACGGCCACAUUGGGACUGAGAUACGGCCCAGACUCCUACGGGAGGCAGCAGUGGGGAAUAUUGCACAAUGGGCGGAAGCCUGAUGCAGCGACGCCGCGUGGGGGAUGACGGCCUUCGGGUUGUAAACUCCUUUCGACCGCGAGGAAGCCACCUGGUUGGAAGGGUGGUGACGGUAGUGGUAGAAGAAGCACCGGCUAACUACGUG
rnacentral:rRNA from 1 species